UUUGUGACAGAAAAUUAUUAGUGGAUGCACAAGGAGUCUAUAAUGUUUUGGUUUUGCUAUUGCUUCCUAAGGUGCAGCACCAGUUUGAAUUUGAAUACCAGACCAAAGUGGAUGGUGAAAUAAUCCUUCAUCUUUAUGACAAAGGAGGAAUUGAGCAAACAAUUUGUAUGUUGGAUGGUGUGUUUGCAUUUGUUUUACUGGAUUCUGCCAAUAAGAAAGUGUCCCUGGACAGAGAUACAUAAGGAGUCAGACCUUUGUUUAAAGCAGUGACAGAAGAUGGAUUUUUGGCUGUGUGUUCAGAAGCUAAAGGUAAUAGUAAAUUUAUGUAUAGAUUUUCAUUAUUGUCUUGGUCGUGUGUUUUCUUUUAAAUUAUAUCUGAAAAUCUCUUAGCAAUCCAGAAUUUUACAAGUGACUAAUUAAGUUGUGAGUUCUUACCUUUUUAAAAAAACAGAGUAGUUUUACUCUCCUUUUCAGCACUUAAAUUCUGUAAUCCUUGAAGGAUGGGUCUUUAGUGUAGUCAUUUAUUUUUGGUGUGCUAAUAUGCUCUGCAUAUAGCUUGAUCGUAAGUGCAGUUUUAAGUUUUCCUGUGUCAUACUGUAAUGAUAGGGUUGGCUCUGCAAUUAUUGCCCUGCGGUACUUUGCUGAAGUUAUAGCACAGCAAAUAUUAGGAUUUCUAAAACAGCUUUAUUGGCAGUUCACAUGCCAUGUAAUUCACCCACUCGAAGUAUAUAGUUCAGUGGUUUUUAGUAUAUUCACAGAUGUUGGGAACCAACACUCCAAUCAAUUUUAGAAUUGUUUUUCCACCUCAAAAAAAAAUCCUAUGCCCUUUAGGUUAUUUUCUUUCUAUUUAUUUAUUUAUUUAUUUUAAGAGAUGGGGUCUUGCUCAGUCGACCAGCCCAGGCUGGAGUACAGUUGUGUAAUCAUAGCUUAGUGCAGCCUUGAACUCCUGGGCUCAAGAUAUCCUCCCAUCUCAGCCUCCCUAGUAGCUAGGAUUACAGGCAUGGACCACAACACCCUGCCUCCUGUGCCGUUUAGCUUUCAAUUCUGUCUCUCCACAUACAUCAUCUGCACCCCCGCAGUUGUAGCACUGGCAAUCACCAAUCUUUCUGCCUCUGGAUUCCCUAUUGUGUGUUUCAUAUAAAUGGGAUUAUCUAUCAUAUGGGCUUUUGUUACUGGAUUCUUUCACUUGGCAUAAUGCUUGCAAGGUUUGUCUAUGCUGUGACAUGUAUCAGUACUUACUUUUUAUGGCCACAUGAUACUCUGUUACAUGGAUACACUGGAUUUUGUUUAUGCACUUGUCAUUUGAUGGAUAUUUAGGACAUUGUUUACCCCUUUUGGUUAUUAUGAAUAAUGCUGCUAUAAACAUUGGUGUAUAAGUUUUUGUGUAGACAUUUGUCUUCGGUGUUUAUCUAGGAGCAGAAUUGCUCAGAUGCAUAUAACUGUCUAAUUGAGGAACUGCCAAACUACUUUUUGAAAUGGCUGCAUUAUUUUUUAUUCCCUCCAGCAGUGUAUUAAAAUUUCAGUUUCUC
rnacentral:lncRNA from 10 species